rnacentral:misc_RNA from 1 species
GAUGAAGAACGCAGCGAAAUGCGAUACGUAAUGUGAAUUGCAGAAUUCAGUGAAUCAUCGAAUCUUUGAACGCAUAUUGCGCUCUCUGGUAUUCCGGAGAGCAUGCUUGUUUGAGUAUCAGUAAACACCUCAACUUCCAUAUCUUUUUUGAAAUGGGAGUUGGACUUGAGUGAUCCCAACGCUUUUCCUCACCGAAAAGUGGCGGGUUACUUGAAAUGCAGGUGCAGCUGGACUUUUUUCUGAGCUAUAAGCAUAUCUAUUUAGUCUGCCUAAAAAACAGAUUAUUACCUUUGCUGCAGCUAACAUAAAGGAGAUUAGUUCUUGUGCUGACUGAUGCAGGAUUCACAAAGACAGGCUUCGGCCGACUUUGUAAACUCGAUCUCAAAUCAAGUAAGACUACCCGCUGAACUUAAGCAUAUCAAUAAGCGGAGGA